CCUAAUACAUGCAAGUAGAACGCUGAAGCUUGGUGCUUGCACCGAGCGGAUGAGUUGCGAACGGGUGAGUAACGCGUAUGUAACCUGCCUGGUAGCGGGGGAUAACUAUUGGAAACGAUAGCUAAUACCGCAUGAUAUUGAUUAUUGCAUGAUAGUCAAUUAAAAGGUGCAAUUGCAUCACUACCAGAUGGACCUGCGUUGUAUUAGCUAGUUGGUGAGGUAACGGCUCACCAAGGCAACGAUACAUAGCCGACCUGAGAGGGUGAUCGGCCACACUGGGACUGAGACACGGCCCAGACUCCUACGGGAGGCAGCAGUAGGGAAUCUUCGGCAAUGGACGGAAGUCUGACCGAGCAACGCCGCGUGAGUGAAGAAGGUUUUCGGAUCGUAAAGCUCUGUUGUAAGAGAAGAACGAGUGUGAGAGUGGAAAGUUCACACUGUGACGGUAUCUUACCAGAAAGGGACGGCUAACUACGUGCCAGCAGCCGCGGUAAUACGUAGGUCCCGAGCGUUGUCCGGAUUUAUUGGGCGUAAAGCGAGCGCAGGCGGUUAGAUAAGUCUGAAGUUAAAGGCUGUGGCUUAACCAUAGUACGCUUUGGAAACUGUUUAACUUGAGUGCAAGAGGGGAGAGUGGAAUUCCAUGUGUAGCGGUGAAAUGCGUAGAUAUAUGGAGGAACACCGGUGGCGAAAGCGGCUCUCUGGCUUGUAACUGACGCUG
rnacentral:rRNA from 1 species